rnacentral:lncRNA from 1 species
GUAGCCUAAACGGCAGGCAUGGCGGCGGCGGGAAAUAGCAACACAGCAGCAGCAGAAGCGACGGCAGUGGGGCUGGGAGGUGCAGUAGCCUAAAUGGCAGGCAUGGCGGCGGCGGGAAAUAGCAACAGCAGCAGGCGCGGCGGCGGCGGGAAUUAGCAACGGAGUAGCAGCGGCAGCAACGGUGGUGGGGUUGGGAGGUGCAGUAGCCUAAACGGCAGGCAUGGCGGCGGCGGGAAAUAGCAACAGCAGCAGGCGUGGGGCUGGGAGGUGACGUAGCCAAAUGGCAGGCGUGGCGGCGGCGGGAAUUAGCAACAUAGCAGCAUGGCAGGCAGGUGGGGCGGGAGGGCCAUUACCUCAACAGCAGGCGCGGCGGCGGCGGGAAUUAGCAACGGAGUAGCAGCGGCAGCAACGGUGGUGGGGCUGGGAGGUGCAGUAGCCUAAAUGGCAGGCGCGGCGGCGGUGGGAAUUAGCAACGCAGGAGCAGUGGCAGCGACGGUGGUGGGGUUGGGAGGUGCAGUAGCCUAAACGGCAGGCGUGGCGGCGGCGGGAAUUAGCAACACAGCAGCAGCGGCAGCGACGAAGGUGGGGCUGGGAGGGCCAUAACUCUCAACAGCAGGCACGGCAGCGGUGGGAAUUAGCAACGGAGUAGCAGCGGCAGCGACGGCGUUGGGGCUGGGAGGUGCAGUAGCCUAAAUGGCAGGUGUGGCGGCGGCGGGAAUUAGCAACGGAGUAGCGGCAGCGACGAAGGUGGGGCUGGGAGGUACCAGAUGGUGCAAUUUGCACAGCAAUCACAUAGUGCUAAACACAGUGACGUUUCUUAUUGGUGUUGCAAAUUGUCCACGUUCACAUGACUUCUGGGCAGCAAGAGGGGAAAAGCCGUACAAUUCCGGACCCUGGUCCGGAAGUGUACAGCAUGGUAUAAAGUUCACAUGGCUGCAAAUUCAAUAUUGGGAAGUUGUUUCGUGGCUAUCGAACUUUGUUGAUUGCAUCAUUUAAAUCCUUGCCAGAACCUGCCAUAGAAUAGGAUGCUCUUUUGUCAUGGCGGGACCAAAUGCUUGCUUGUGUAGAAGCAUUAGAAGCUCGACGAUUGAUACAAACGUGAAUGUUCUGGUAUUCCUACACAUUGUGAUCAUUCUUACUGGUCACAUUAGCCAGUUUGCCAUGUCAUUGAAUGCGCUGGAGGUGGCAUCCAAACCACGAAAGAUCAUUUACAGACCGGAUGUAGCUCCGGACUCCUCCCAGCCUUUUCACUGCACCAACUGUGCCAACUGGUUUGGUAGUCGGUCACAUGCAUAUCGGCACCAGUGCAAAGACAGGGGGUGGAGUAUGGCCGCCGCCGCGCCUGCGGUUGAGACUAAUGCACCUCCCACAUGUUUUAGCUAGUUACAUCAACAAUGCUGUGCCUGUGGGACGGUGCGAGCUGGUGACUUAACUUGUCAUGCUUGAACACAGCAGGAGAGAAUCUUUGCUAAUUAAACCUUAAAUACAUGCCUUAAGUAUGUAACAUAUGGCUUUCAAAUUAACAACAGGGUGUAAGGGAGCUGACCGAGUAAGGCUUGGCAACAGGCCAAAAGGAAGUUGCCCUGCUAGCUGGCAUAUACUGAUCUUUUGCGUUGGAUAAGUGCAGCUAAGCCUAAGGGCUUUGUUUACGGCCGCGCCUGAAUGCAUAUCAAGUCACUGCAAGUGGCUGAAACGAAGGUAAUUCAAGUGCACUCCAGAAUCCCGGCAGGGAUACUGUAUAGUACAUUGUGCACAUUGUUAUGGAGGUAAUAUACUAUGCAGCAUUUCAGAGGGGAUUCAGGAGUCCAUAUGGCAUAUAAUUGUCACUUUUUAGAAAGGAACAAAACAUGAACACAUAGCCAGCAUAUGACCAUUGGGAACAUGACUGAAUUUACAUAUAUGAGUGGCAAUUCACGAUCCGUCAUGCUGCGCAAGGAGCAUGACAACUGUCAUGACCAUGACUCUGCCUCAUGACCGGUAACAUGACCGGUCAUGAGGCCUCAUGAGUGGUCAUGAGGCAACAUGACCAGAUCUAUGACAGGAAACCCCCCGCAUGACCACAUCCAUGACCAAGUCAUUCCCCUCAUAUGAGGGGUCGCGCUUACUACUUGUGGACCACUGCACGAGGAACAUGACGGACGGGCGUGCGCGCUUGUUGUACCCUAGGCGAACAGCUGUAACCACGGUAUCUGCACUGUCAUACGGGGAUUCAAGUGCGGUAGGGGCUGCAGGUGGAGGUGGUGGGCGGCCGGGAAAGAGCGCUGGAUCGUUGUCGGUCCAGGGAAGAAGGCGGCUGAUGUGGAAUACUGGAUGCAAGCGGCCGAGGGAGGCUGGAAGGUGGAGGCGGUAUGCGACUGGAGAAAUGACGGAGGAGAUGAGGAAGGGGCCGAGGUAGCGAGGGCGGAGUUUUGGGGAGGGGUAGGUAGGUAGGGUGAGGUGCUCUGUGGACAGUCGGACGCGAUCGCCAACUUUGAAGGUGAUGGAGCGACGAUGCUGGUUAGCUGCGGCAGUGUAGCGGGUUUUGGCGGCUUGGAUUUCGCGGUUGAUGGUGGCAUGGAUGUCCUUCAUACGCUGCUGUAGCUCGGUGGCCUGCGGGUGUGAGGAAGGUGGAGCGGCUUGGGGGCCGUGGAGGGAGAUGGGAGUGCGCGGGUGGUAGCCGUGAUUGGCGUAAAAUGGUGUCAUGCCGGUGCUUGCGUGGGUGGCGUUGUUGUAUGCUGCUUCUGCGAUCGGAAGGUAUGAUGCCCAGUUGUCCUGCAUAGGUUGGAUGUAAGCGCGGAGGAUCUGUUCAAUAGUGCGAUGUGUUCUCUCGGUUUGACCGUCGGUUUUNNNNNNNNNNNNNNNNNNNNNNNNNNNNNNNNNNNNNNNNNNNNNNNNNNUUUGGGAGGUGCAGUAGCCUAAACGGCAGGCGUGGCGGUGGCGGGAAAUAGCAACACAGCAGCAGUGGCAGCGACGGCAGUGGGGUUGGGAGGUGCAGUAGCCUAAACGGCAGGCACUGCAGCGGCGGGAAAUAGCAACAGCAGCAGGCGUGGCGGCGGCAGGAUUUAGCAAAGGAGUAGCAGCGGCCGCGACGAAGGUGGGGCUGGGAGGUGCAGUAGCCUAAAUGGCAGGCACCGCGGCGGCGGGAAUUAGCAACGCAGCAGCAGUGGCAGCAACGGCGGUGGGGUUGGGAGGUGCAGUAGCCUAAACGGCAGGCGUGGCGGCGGCGGGAAAUAGCAACACAGCAGCAGCGGCAGCGACAGCGUUGGGGCUGGGAGGUGCAGUAGCCUUAACGGCAGGCGUGGCGGCGGGGGGAAAUAGCAACAGCAGCAGGCGUGGCGGCGGCAGGAUUUAGCAAAGGAGUAGCAGCGGCCGCGACGAAGGUGGGGCUGGGAGGUGCAGUAGCCUAAAUGGCAGGCGUGGCGGUGGCAGGAAAUAGCAAUGCAGCAGCAGCGGCAGCGAUGGUGUUAAGGCUGGGAGGUGAAGUAGCCUAAACGGCAGGCGUGGCGGCGGCGGGAAUUAGCAACACAGCAGCAGCGGCAGCGACGAAGGUGGGGCUGGGAGGGCCAUAACUCUCAACAGCAGGCACGGCAGCGGUGGGAAUUAGCAACGGAGUAGCAGCGGCAGCGACGGCGUUGGGGCUGGGAGGUGCAGUAGC